rnacentral:rRNA from 1 species
UAGGGAAUCUUCGGCAAUGGACGGAAGUCUGACCGAGCAACGCCGCGUGAGUGAAGAAGGUUUUCGGAUCGUAAAGCUCUGUUGUAAGAGAAGAACGAGUGUGAGAGUGGAAAGUUCACACUGUGACGGUAUCUUACCAGAAAGGGACGGCUAACUACGUGCCAGCAGCCGCGGUAAUACGUAGGUCCCGAGCGUUGUCCGGAUUUAUUGGGCGUAAAGCGAGCGCAGGCGGUUAGAUAAGUCUGAAGUUAAAGGCUGUGGCUUAACCAUAGUACGCUUUGGAAACUGUUUAACUUGAGUGCAAGAGGGGAGAGUGGAAUUCCAUGUGUAGCGGUGAAAUGCGUAGAUAUAUGGAGGAACACCGGUGGCGAAAGCGGCUCUCUGGCUUGUAACUGACGCUGAGGCUCGAAAGCGUGGGGAGCAAACAGGAUUAGAUACCCUGGUAGUCCACGCCGUAACGAUGAGUGCUAGGUGUUAGACCCUUUCCGGGGUUUAGUGCCGCAGCUAACGCAUUAAGCACUCCGCCUGGGGGAGUACGACCGCAAGGUUG